rnacentral:rRNA from 1 species
ACKGCUCAGUAACACGUGGCCAACCCACCCUCAGGACGGAGACACCCCCGGGAAACUGCGCCUAGGGCCCGAAACGCCUUUAUUCCUGGAAUGAAUCUUCCUAUGUAGGCGUUGGGAUCUUGCUUCUUAACUUCUUCCGAGGACGGCUUGAGACCGAUCUUUGAUUGGCCAUGCAACGGAUCAUCUCACCUAUACCGAAAUAGCACGAGGUAUGGCGAGCCCCGAAAUGGGCACUGAUACUCGGUGCCAGAACCUACCUGGCGUGGUUCUUGACCGACUUGACGUUGAAACCAUGCGUGUCCGCGCUACCCCGAGAGGCAACCGCUGACGAUGGCUUUGCUCUGGUGGAAAAAGGUCGACGAAUCUAGAAACGGCACGGCUGGUGUCAGCCGCCGCCCGAAUAAUGGGCUCUCCGAGUGGGGGCCAUGAUUAUUGGGCUUAAAGCGUCCGUAAAACUCCUUUCUGGUCUUUCGUUAGAUCCGGCUAUUAAUCGUGGCACUGCCUGAGAUACUGUUUUGCUAGGGGGAGUGAGAAGCCGAAAUAAUUCUAGGGGUAGGCUGAAGAUCCUAUACUCCCAAAAAGACCAUCUCCGAGUGAACGGACGAUUAUUGCGCUUAUCGACGGCGAAGCACGACCACUGAGGCACCCAAUCGAAUCAGAUACCUAAUCAGUGCCAUGUGUAAAAUAUUGUUGCUAUAUGUUGCAGCAGAUACCAACCGCUUUCCCGCCGCAGGGAAGACAUCAUAUACUCCCGCUGGGAAGUACAGUCGCAAGGGUUGAACUUUAAAGCAUUGUCGACGGAGAAC